CCUGCCAGGCAAGCCAGGGAUCAUGAGCCAGGAAAGAAGCUCUUGGAGAAGGCAGGUUGUCCCCUUUACCCUCCCUGUUCUGAUGCUGGGCAGCUCAGUUUCCCAGGCUCUGCAAUAGGAGGGAUCCUCUUUCCUAGGGCUUUAAAUGGCAGGCAGUGUGACAGCUGCUGCUGCUGCUGCACUAUAUGGAGGAGUUGGCCAAGUGAAACCAUGGUGGUCUGCAUUCAGAGGAUACAGCUCGGUGACUAUGACAAGUCCCCUGCGCCUUUCGAAGGCUUCGUGGAAGUAGAGCACACAGUCAUGCUGGAGUCGGGCCAGCAACCGGGCCUCGCGUCUCGCUGAUGCUUUAGGCUUGGCCUGACUAGGGAUGAACUUGGCUGCAAACUCCAGGCCAGAGCUCCGCUCCACUACCCGCCGCAGACCCAGCAUCCCCUUCUGGUCCUUGAAGCCAGUUCUUCCUGGCCCCACACCUGCCGAUCUCUUGGUGGAUGUCAUAGUAGUCGCUAAGUCUUCUUCCUCGGUGCUCCUCAUCCUCUCCGACCCCUUCGACCUCCAUGGCUGUCUGAGCUAGGGAGGAGAUAGAUGUCCCCAUGUUGGGAGGACAGGUAAGAGACAAGGGCAGAGAGGGGCAAUGUGGGAAGAUUCAAAGGGCACAGGCCAGAAUGCUGGCACAGGGCAAGAUGCUGCCUGUCUCUUCUCCCCAAAACACUAACCCACCUGAGUGCACAGACAGCUCUGCCUUGCAGGAGACUUCGCCUGCCAGGUUCCGGGCCGUACAGGUAUAGACGCCUCCAUCCUGGCUUCCUGCACUGAGCACCACCAGGGAGCACUCGUUCUCUUCGUACACGAAGCUCACAUGAUUGCUCUCGGCCAGCAGCACCUCAUCCUGCAGAGGCCUGAGUGGAAGGACAUGGGAUAGAAUCUCCAGCAUGCAACAUGCCUCAAAGGGAUGAAGAGAUUGUCACUUACCUGCCAGCUCUAGGGUGAUCGAGCAGGCCUUUGUGCCAUGGCGGUUUCGGGCACUGCAAGUA